UACGUAGGUGGCGAGCGUUAUCCGGAUUCACUGGGCGUAAAGCGCACGCAGGCGGCCUGGUGGGUAGGGCAUGAAAUCUCCUGGCUUAACUGGGAGGGUUGUCCUAUACCGCCGGGCUUGAGGCUGGGAGAGGGAAGUGGAAUUGCCGGUGUAGUGGUGAAAUGCGUAGAUAUCGGAAGGAACAUCAGUGGCGAAAGCGACUUCCUGGACCAGUACCGACGUCAGGCACGAAAGCGUGGGGAGCAAACAGG
rnacentral:rRNA from 1 species